rnacentral:rRNA from 1 species
UUGGAAUGAGAACAAUUUAAAUCCCUUAUCGAGGAUCCAUUGGAGGGCAAGUCUGGUGCCAGCAGCCGCGGUAAUUCCAGCUCCAAUAGCGUAUAUUAAAGUUGUUGCAGUUAAAACGCUCGUAGUCGGACCUCGGAGCGCCCCCACGGGCCGGGCUUUUGCCUUGUUGCCAGUGGGAGUUUGUCUCCUCUUGUCGGGACGCGGUGUGUGGGGACUUUACUGUCUCUGCGCGUUUACCUGCGGGCCGACCGUUUACUGUGAAGAAAGUAAAGUGUUCAAAGCAGGCCAUUGCCUUGAAUAUGUGAGCAUGGAAUAAUAGAAUAGGACUUGGGCUCUAUUUUGUUGGUUUCCAGUGACCAAGUAAUGAUUAAUAGGGACGGUUGGGGGCAUUCGUAUUUCAUUGUCAGAGGUGAAAUUCUUGGAUUGAUGGAAGACGUACAACUGCGAAAGCAUCUGCCAUGGAUGUUUUCAUUGAUCAAGAACGAAAGUUAGGGGAUCGAAGACGAUCAGAUACCGUCGUAUCUUAACC